rnacentral:misc_RNA from 1 species
GUUAAUUUGCCAAUAGAAAUUAAAUUGUAUGGACAUUUAGGUAUAAAUAAAACUGAGUUUAUAGAAACAGAAAGAAGAUGUUGAACUUCUCCUAUUUCGUUAAUCACAAUUUGUGAGCCAUUAGCCAGUGUAACUUUAGAGGAAAUUGAAGGAGAUUUAAGAUCAGAGAAAAGGUUUUUAUUACUAGAGAUAUGAUUUGAUGCACCAAAGUCUAGUAUCCAUGAUCCAAUAGGUGUAGAAUUGCUCAAAUAAGCAAAAGAAUUACCAAAAGUGCCAGAUGAGGAUGACUGUU